rfam:Acyrthosiphon pisum strain LSR1 Contig33555, whole genome shotgun sequence.
AAAACGGCCCUUUUCAGGGCCCCUCAACGUUGAGACUAGGUACUAA